UACGGAAGGCAGCAGUGGGGAAUAUUGCACAAUGGGCGCAAGCCUGAUGCAGCCAUGCCGCGUGUAUGAAGAAGGCCUUCGGGUUGUAAAGUACUUUCAGUCGUGAGGAAGGUGUUAAGGUUAAUAACCUUAGCAAUUGACGUUAGCGACAGAAGAAGCACCGGCUAACUCCGUGCCAGCAGCCGCGGUAAUACGGAGGGUGCGAGCGUUAAUCGGAAUUACUGGGCGUAAAGGGCACGCAGGCGGUUAAUUAAGUUGGAUGUGAAUCCCCGGGCUUAACCUGGGAAUGGCAUUCAAGACUGGUUAGCUAGAGUCUUGUAGAGGGGGUAGAAUUCCAUGUGUAGCGGUGAAAUGCGUAGAGAUGUGGAGGAAUACCGGUGGCGAAGGCGGCCCCUGGACAAAGGCUGACGCUCAUGUGCGAAAGCGUGGGGAGCGAAAC
rnacentral:rRNA from 1 species